AAUAACUAUAAGUUACUUUUUGGACGCGAUCUUUAUUGUGUUUCGUAAUUCCAAUCAUGCCCACUAAGAGUUGUUCUCUAGGGUGUAGAAGGGACUGUGACAACGCGCCACAACAGUUUGGUGUUACGAUCCAUCUGUGUCCAAACAAAGAGAGAAACCCCGGACUUGAUACCGCCUUGCUGAGAGUCAUUCCAAGAGAAAUAGAUCUGAAAAAGACAGAUUAGGCAUCAUCCAAAAGUACAAGGCUGUGUUCCUUGCAUUUCAACGAAUCUGAUUUCAUCUGUCAGUCUAAAAGAAGUUAGACCCUUGGCAAGGCUCUGAAGAAGAGGUACCUCAAACCAGAUGUAGUACCAUCCCUAUGGUCAAACUGCCUCAACUACCUUUCAACUCCUAAAGCUUCAUCAAUGCCAACUCAAGCAGUGACCACGUCAUGUAGGGCUCCACAGUCCAAUGAAAUGAGUUCUGCGGAAGAACUUGGUGACAAAUUGACCGAGGAUGACACUCCCAUCAAACUUCAACCUCAUCACAAAACCAAGUGUUGCCCUUUUGAAGCUAUCCCAUGAUGAGAAAUUGGACCCCAAGUAGUAGCCAGCAUCAAGUUUGGCACAGAUAUGUCAUUCAAAAUGUACAACUCUGGUGUGUUGAUUGACAAAAAGGCAGUGUCACACAUCACCUCAAAAGGCAAGGUCAACACUGUGAUUCAAGCUAUCAAUUUGCCUUCCUUUCUGGGAGCAAAAGAAGAAUGGAAUCAAACAGAGACCUGGGAAAACAUUUUCAACAAGUUAGUGAAGUUUCUCAACUCCUCAGAGAUUGAACCUAAGCAAGCUUCUAAGCUCUCUUUCAUUCGUGAGCAAAUGGCUCUCCUCUUCACCAAACCAACAGCUAGAUAAUAUUCACCUUGUCUUCUUUCAACCGCACUCAUGUGGGAAUUUGUGAGCUCAGAACUAUGUGGAAUAUUCUACGAAAAGAGAGAUGAGCUUUGUGUACCAAUGUCUGGGAAGAACAAACUUGACCUAUCUUUCUUGAGAGAUUUUGUCGACUUUCUCAUUGAGUGGCAAAACAGUAAAGCACCUGGCCUCAGAAACCUUCCUAGCAACAAAGCAGACGUGCUUUGCUGCAGCAGAUCUGGUAGAGUAUUUUCUCCUAGAUGAAGACUUCUCCUAUGUACAGUCUGAUCCCAUCGAAAGAAGGUUCAGCUGGUACUGACAACUAAGUGGAGGCAUCUACUACAUCAGCGUGAGACAGAUUCUGGAAGCAGAGAAAAAGAUUCGUAUUCUUGUCAAAUUCUCAGGUCUGAAUACUUCAGAAAUUAGAGGUCUGCUGGAUAAAAGCUAAGCUCAUUUUGAUUAACUGGCAACCAGAUGACCUCCAGGAACUAGCUUCCAAGGGAGAAAGUAAUGUUCUCUACUUUGUUGCCGGGUAUAUGGGUUUUUCUUUGAAGAAGAAGAUCAGCUGUACAUCAUGUCAAGAGUUAAUAGUCAUCAGAGACACACCUCCGGACUCAAUAACCUUCGAUAUCCCAACCAACCAGCAUGUAGACCUGAAAGAGUUCAUCGACAUUAUGAGUAGAAGGGGAUUGUCGACUCCAUCCGACCUUCUCUACCUCUCCUGUCUUUAUACUCACUCCAUGUUCUCUUACAUCACAGCUACUCCUGAAGAGAAAGACAGUUAACUUGGCACACCAGAUCCUGGUGCUUCAUUUGUUGCCACAUUUAUUGACAGGAUGCAGGACAGUCCAAACUCUGACAUUAUCGUUGUGGGAGUAAAGUGUGAGGAAUGACACUCCUGGUCAGCUUUUCUUCAGAGAAUUUCAUUCGCUUUGUUUAAAUUUAAAAAGAAAUAAAAAUUAAAGUGCUAAACUGAA
rnacentral:lncRNA from 1 species